UGGAGGCGCGUGCUGGUGGGCCCAUGGCUUGGAGGCUGGAGAUCUUCUGUCACGUGUCCUGGUAGAGAGCUGCGAACUUCCACCUGCAGGCAGGCUGCCUUCCCGCGAUGGCCUUGGCCUCCCUGGCUGACGCGUGGGCGCGCUGGAGCCUUUGCUGUGUUAAUCUUGGCACUGCCGCGGGCUGCGCUCAAGUUAACUGGGGUGCAGAGCCACGGGGGAUUGGAAGAGCUGCAGUGGGAAGUGCCAAAGGCACUACAAACAGGAUGGAGGUGUCAGCAGGGGCGAGCGUUGGUUUUGGCAGCCUUUCUGCGAGCCAUCGGCGUCCGCUUGAUUAGCAUGGAGCUCGCAAAAGUGCUGAGGAGUUGCGAAAGGCUUGCGGGUUCCCAGGCGCUGCCUGGAGAGGGGACGGAGGGCAGCGGAGGGAGCACGCGGCAGCUACGGAUGCGUGCGAUGGGCAGAGCGUGUCGGGAGGUGUCAGCCUUCACCAGCGCAAGUGUGGGAACUGCAGCCUCUGCGCGAGAGCAAAAAGACUUUCUUUUUUUUUUUUUCCUUAAUGUAAGAAGACUUCUCUUAGGCAAGGAGGUGUUUCUGUUGCUGCAGAGCUGCUCAGGCACCCCGGCUGUGCGCUGCCGUUCCCACAGGGAUCUCUGAGCAUCUGUGAGCAGUGCGGAGAGUCGGGAUGAGUGGGGAAGAGUUAAUGGAGUGACGGAUGCGGUCUUGCAGCUGUCGUUCCUCCCCCUGCCUCCCACCCCAUCCUCGGCAGUGCCGGUUUGAAGCCCGAGCUCGCAAGCCUGGCAGAAGCUGUUGCUCUGGGGGUUGUGACUAUUUACCGUGUUCCCUGGCAGCCUGGGGCGAGUUGGCGAGUGCUGGGUGGAAGUUGCCUCUCAGCAGCCCCUGGGGCCUUGGCCUGUCCCAGGAGAUCCUCUCUGUGCCCUGAGAAGCCCCAAAACAGCGCUGUGGUGGCCGGUGCUGGUGCCCAGCCUGCUGGAGGUCUCACCAGGACAAGCAGCACUGCAGAUUUAGUCAGAGCGCUUAGGAAAGUUGUGGUGCUAUCCUUUGCGCUUAUGAUCUGGGCCAUAUAUUUUUAGUAAAUGGUCUGCUUAGGAAUAAUGCUAGAGCUGAGAUGGUCGCAUCUCCCCUAGGAGGAAGCUGGGAGACUUCUGGCUGCAGUGUUUCUUCUCCUGCUCUUGCCCGCUGAAGACUAACUGUACCUGUUGGCAUGAAAGACGGGGUAUGUGGGUGACCCUUCCUUCUGCGGUGAAUGGGUACAAGGACGAGGAUCCAUUGGUAGGGUUUGCCUUAGCCGCAUGUCUUGCUAAGGCUCAGGGUGUGAUGCUCUGGCCUUUGCAAUCCUCGCUGAAACAUCCGUAGGGAAGCUGGAGUCAGCUGAAUGUCCCAGAAGGGUUGAGAAGAGCUUUGAUUUCUUGCUUGGGGCACCCAGGGGUUACUCCCCCUUGGCUCUGGCUGUUGCUGGCCCUCCUGACUUGCCCCCUCGAGGAACGCCUGGGUCUCCGGGAAUGUGGGGAGAUUUUUUCCCGCAGGUGCUGUGUAUUUUUGAUGUGCUGGGAGGCCACAGUGAUCUGCAUUUUCCAACAGCUGUGCUGGGCAUGGUGGCACUGGCAGGGACACUGCUGCUGUAUUUUUUUUUAAC
ensembl:lncRNA